UACGUAGGGGGCAAGCGUUGUCCGGAUUCAUUGGGCGUAAAGGGUGCGUAGGCGGCGCGGUAAGUCGGGUGUGAAAUCUCGGAGCUUAACUCCGAAACUGCAUUCGAUACUGCCGUGCUUGAGGACUGGAGAGGAGACUGGAAUUUACGGUGUAGCGGUGAAAUGCGUAGAUAUCGUAAGGAAGACCAGUGGCGAAGGCGGGGUCUCUGGACAGUUCCUGACGCUGAGGCACGAAGGCCAGGGGGAGCAAACGGG
rnacentral:rRNA from 1 species